GACGAACGCUGGCGGUGUGCUUAACACAUGCAAGUCGAACGGUAAGGCCCUUUCGGGGGUACACGAGUGGCGACCGGGUGAGUAACACGUGAGUAACCUGCCCUCAUCUCUGGGAUAACAGUCGGAAACGGUUGCUAAUACUGGAUAUGAGCUUGCAAGGCAUCUUGUGGGUUGGAAAGAUUUUUUUGGUUGGGGAUUGACUCGCGGCCUAUCAGCUUGUUGGUGAGGUAGUGGCUCACCAAGGCUUCGACGGGUAGCCGGCCUGAGAGGGCGACCGGCCACAUUGGGACUGAGAUACGGCACAAACUCCUACGGGAGGCAGAAGUGGGGAAUAUUGCACAAUGGACGGAAGUCUGAUGCAGCAACGCCGCGUGCGGGAUGACGGCCUUCGGGUUGUAAACCGCUUUCAAUUGUGACGAAGCUUUUUGUGACGGUAGCAGUAGAAGAAGCACCGGCUAACUACGUG
rnacentral:rRNA from 1 species